rnacentral:rRNA from 1 species
GAUGAACGCUGGCGGCAUGCCUAAUACAUGCAAGUCGAACGAGCUCUUCGGAGCUAGUGGCGGACGGGUGAGUAACACGUUGGUACCUACCCCGAAGUGGGGAAUAACUACCCGAAAGGGUGGCUAAUACCGCAUAAUACCGUAAGGUUAAAGCAGUAAUGCGCUUCGGGAGGGGCCUGCGUCCCAUUAGCUAGUUGGCGGGGUAAAUGCCCACCAAGGCGACGAUGGGUAGCUGGAUCGAGAGGUUGACCAGCCACACUGGGACUGAGAUACGACCCAGACUCCUACGGGAGGCAGCAGUAAGGAAUCUUCCACAAUGGACGAAAGUCUGAUGGAGCAAUGCCGCGUGCAGGAUGACGGCCUUCGGGUUGUAAACUGCUUUUAUAUGGGAAGAUUAUGACGGUACCAUAUGAAUAAGGACCGGCUAACUACGUGCCAGCCGCCGCCGUAA